AGAAUCAACGCUGGCGGCGUGCCUAACACAUGCAAGUCGAACGAGAAAGUGGAGCAAUCCAUGAGUAAAGUGGCGCACGGGUGAGUAACACGUGACUAACCUACCUUUUAGUGGGGGAUAACCUAGGGAAACCUGGACUAAUACCGCAUAACACUUACGAGUCAAAGCAGCAAUGCGCUGGAAGAGGGGGUCGCGGCCGAUUAGCUAGUUGGCGGGGUAAUGGCCCACCAAGGCAGUGAUCGGUAUCCGGCCUGAGAGGGCGCACGGACACACUGGAACUGAAACACGGUCCAGACUCCUACGGGAGGCAGCAGUGGGGAAUUUUGCGCAAUGGGGGAAACCCUGACGCAGCAACGCCGCGUGGAGGAUGAAGUCCCUUGGGACGUAAACUCCUUUCGAUCGGGACGAUAAUGACGGUACCGGAAGAAGAAGCCCCGGCUAACUUCGUGCCAGCAGCCGC
rnacentral:rRNA from 1 species